AUCCACUUCACCUCGAUCUCAUUUUGGUCAGAACCCGUUUAGACAUGGACCAAAUCGAUAUAUUAUAUUAAAAACGACCCGUUCUAACCCAUUACUUGACCUGACCCACCCAUUUUGCCAUGGUUUGGUUAUAGGCUCAUGAUGUCACAUUUGUCAGUGUCGUAGCUAGGCAUUGAUUUGAUCAGUCACGAUUACAUAAACUAUGUUUGUGUGCAUUUUAGUACCUUAAUGCUCUCCUGAAACUGUAGAGGGAUGUCUUUCUGGUACGUUUCCGAGAGUUUAAAGUAUAAUACGAGGCUCACACCUUCACCGUCGCUGUCACUAAGGAACAUUUGAGCAGCAUAACCAGGUAACUGUAACAACCACAUAUACAUAACAUUAAAGUUUACAUUAUGCAAUGUCUCAAUAGUCAAGACUUCUCUUAAAUCAAGUCACCUUUUAAAUAAUAAAUAAAAAUCCAAACCUGAAUAUUGACAAUGAGAAGAGGUGGCAAUUUCUCAUCACCUUUUAACGAAGGAAGCUCGAUGUAUUUCGCAAUGUGGUUGAUUUUUUUCGUGCACGCAAACAGAUCUACACCAAAUGGAAUGUAUGGGGAAUAACUUGGAGCAGGUUUUUUCGACUUAUCUCUGCACAUAUGACACUUGAUCAGGUUAUAGUUACAUAAAAAAAUUAAUUCAAUCUAAAAUACAUAUUUAAGUUCUAAAAUAAACUUUCAACAAUUUAAUUUAAUGCAUUAAAAAACCGGGGUCUGAAAAGACACAGCCGGCCCAAGACUGGCCUUGGGCCGAGUGGCGCCUCUCUAAAAUGAUUAAUUUUUGAAAAGGGAAUUUGAGAUGGGAUACCUUAAAUAGUUUUCACUUCUGAGAGUGAAACUUGACGGGUCAAUAGCAGACCAACAUCCACGAGUCGGCUUCUCAUCCGUACAACAUGGAAUCAAGAAUCCUGCUCCGGGUCGGUAAAAAAACUUUUCUGUAGCACCUGCAUUUCAUUUCACAUAUUUAGACAUUAAGUUUUCUUCAAACCCGAAGCCACAAGAGUAAUGUUUUAUACGUACGGGUUCCAUUGAGAUCCUCUUCGGCUCUCUUCACUGCAAGCUUAAUAACAGUGGGCUUUCUUGUCUGAUUCUGUGAGCCUGAAUUUGAUGUGUUAGUGAUUUUAUCAUUGAAACUAGCAGAAUGAAACAAGUGGGGCCCACCAGGCUUCAAGAUCCGGGCUGGAUUUUUAUCACCGUUGUAGCUACUAUAACUACGUCUGAACUUGUUUGAUGGGCUUAAAUCACCAUCAUGUUCAUGGAACUAAGAUCAUUCUCCAAAUUUGGAUCAUCGUCUUUAACCAACGAAACAAAGUAGACAUGAAUACAAUUAGUUAUGCAAUAUUUCACUUUUAAAGUUGGUCAGACGGGUUGGGUAACAGUAUUGCGUGAGACAAGGUGAAAAUUCUAAAAAUGUACCGUUUGAAUCAAUCUGACUGCUAUGUAAAUCCAUCUGAGUGGGUUCAUGAGUACAUUUAG
rnacentral:lncRNA from 1 species